rnacentral:tRNA from 1 species
UUCACAAAGUAGUAUAAUAAUUACUUUUCGUUUACACCGAAAAAAUGGUCUAAAACCCUUCGUGAAUU